rnacentral:misc_RNA from 1 species
AUCUCUCUCAGUCUCUCUCUCCUAUUCAUGGGGAUAAAUGAAAUACAGAUAUUAGAACUAAAAUUUGAGAAAAUGCAAAAAAAUAUAAUAGCAGAGAUGCAAACAACAAAGAGAAUCUCUGGAAUACAUGACUCAGGAUUUUGGAUUUUCUAAUUUCACAAUAUAAGGUGACGUAACUCAAUCUUCAAUUAAUCCUAAAAUUAAAGGAAAAUUUAUAAUUUAGCUCCAAAAUAACUAGGGAAAUUGACAAGAUCAUUUUAAGAAGGCUAUGAAACAGAAUUGGUGGGAGAACAUCAGAAUACUACACCACCUAAUCAAUAUAUAACAAGAAAUUGCCACGACUAUUAGCAGGAGUAGAUAGAGAACACAGAGCUUCAAACAUCUGUGGUCUGGCAGGGAUAUGUGUUUGCAAACAUGAAGCAUACCCAUAGUAGAUGCAUACACUUGCAGACAUACAGAGAAAGAUAAAACCUGAACGAUAAAUAUUUUGCAAAUGUAUCAUUAAUUGUUCCAUAGAUUUAUG